GUACCCUGACGUUUUUUUCUCCCAAUCCCUUCCCAUUCAAAUCGGUCCUGCCGAGAUCUCCGGUGAUCGCCGUCGGAGAGAUCUCCGGCGAUCACCACGCCGAAUCGGAGGGGACGGGAGCUACCGCGGAGCUUCAGCGGUGGGUACGAGCAGCGAUCGACGCAAGUGCACCCGAUCCCCCACCCAGCAUCCGUCUCAUCGCCGCUCCCUGCCGCCGCACACCACGAGCACAGCAACGGCGUCGGCAUCGGCAAGUCCGCGUCGGGCUCAGUUUCGGCUUCAAUCAUCAGCUCCUCGAGGUCCUCGGAUGAUACCCUCGAUCUCGAGAUCUAUAGGACAAGCCUGAACCUCCUGAGGAAGGCCGCCUGCCGGACGCCACCAAAGGAAUUCUGUUUUCAACAAAGAAGCAUCCAAGGACUAAAGAUCUAAUGGUAAGGAUGAGUGGUGCAAUUUCUACAUAGUAUUAGUAGUCGACAAUCCUUUAUUUUGGAUGUGGACUAUAUAAUCAAAUGUACUUAUUUUAGAUUGAAUCAUUUAGUUUGAAUUUGAAAUUGUCAUGUACUUAAAAUUUGGAAAUAUUGGGAGGUAUUUUCUAUGACGAAUGUGAGAAUAUUAAUGCCUUUUCGUUAUUAGAACUUAAAAAUCU